GACUUUCGCCAUUGUUUGCACUGCUAACGCUGUUAGCACCGCCGUCGCCAUCCUCCAAAUAAAGUGGUUUAGAUAAUCUGGAUAAACUGUUGGUUUGUUUCCAACCUGAUGUUCCAACACCAAAGCUGUGGAAAAAAAAAACAAGUUGUAAUAAAUUGUAAUUAUCCUUUACGAGUAGAAAUGUAAAUGAAGUUGUACUAAUAGAUGCCAUAUUUCUAACGUUUCCCUGUUGUAAAUCACAGUAACUGUCAGUCAUUUAUUUAUGAUAUUAAUCGAUCGCAACGGUGGCAAAAAAAUAUUGAAAAACAGUAAUGAAAGCGUAUACUUGUCAAGUGUAAAAAAUCUCGAGUUCAAUGUUCUCUGUGUUGUUUUUCAGAACUCAUUCAUGUGUUGUCCUUGACUUUAAAAAAAAAAAAAAAAAAGGCGGACUAUUUUUAAAAGUCAACAUGAAGUAGUCCGAUUGUUUCUCCAGUAUUAUCGACCGUCUGCAGAUGAAUGCAGUCAUGAAGGCUCUAGAGGACUAUCGGGGUGAUAAUGCCUGAUUAAGCCCUUUUAAUAGAAAUCAUAUACUUUACAUCACAGCUAAUCAUUCUGCAAAUCAUGCUGGAAAUUUACUGUCUUUACUGUUCAGUGGAUUCCAUUCAUCUCUGUCGGGGAAAAUCAAUUAGCGGACUCUUGAGUUUUGUAAUUAAUCAGAGCAUGCCUGACUGAUAUAUACCGGCCAAUAUUAGCUUAUUGCAGCUAUAUAUAGUAGGUAUCAAAGUAUACUUGGGACCCCUUGCAGGGGAGAACAUUUUCCGAGGACCCCCUCUGAAUCGUAACAAGGAUUAAGCAUAAUGAUUACUACCAUUUGUACUCUUAGAUGCCAUAGGAGCUAUUUGUAUUCUAAAACUUUUCAACCGACUUGUUUCAUAGCGAUAAAAAGAAACACAUUCCAAUUUGAAUCAUGUUAAGAUAAGAUGAGAUAAUCUUUUAUUAGUCCCAGAGAGGGGGAAUUUGCAAUGUUAUUGAAUGUUAAUACCAAUUAUAUACCUUUUAAACAGAGGGUGAUUUUAUUCAAUCUGCAUUUGGACUCAACUUGACAGCAUUUAUAGCCUCCAUUUCAACUAAUAGAUCUUAAAAGCUUCCAGAAAAUGAACAAUAGCAAGGCUGGCAUAGUCCUAAUAAAUCUAGACAUUUAAAUUUACCAGUCUAAAGCUGACUGUCAGUGCUUUAACUUAACCAUAAUGACCUUAUUGCUCUGUGUCACAAUCAUUUCAGAGUUUCUAUUGGCCCAAAGGUGAUGUGGGUGGGAUUAUUGGACACAAUGUGCUUGGUUUUAUUGGCGCAAAUGUUCCCCAUCUAUAGAUGCACACUUUUUAAUGACACAGCACAAUUUUAUAAUGUAUAGAAAAUUAUUUCGCGAACCCCCUGACAGAUUGCCAAAGACCCCACUUUGAGAAUUACUGGUGUAAUGGAUUACACAACUCAAGCAAGUUUCAAGGGAUCGCUAAUUGACUUUCAAAUCAAUGGAGAUAAAUGGCUGCCUUGGGUGAAAACGUCUGAACACACUAGUAUGGUCCUUUUAAUAAAGACCAGAGCAUAUUUCUUCUUUUUGUAACAGAAAUAUGGCUAUAAUCUUCCUCUAACCACUAGGGAAUAUUCUGCAUUCCCCCAUAAAUAGACAGUAAAAAUGUCCACUCUUAACACUCAUCACCUGUGAAUGACUGAGCCUGUGUUUCUGUUCAGUAUUUAGUAUUGUACUGUUUUAUUAUUGCAGUUCAGCUGAACAAAGGUGUUUCUAACAUUGAUUGAAAACAAACGUGUUGCUUUCAUGUCACUCUGCUGUUGCUGUACAGUAUAUUCAACUUUGUUUUUUUUUAUUCCACGUGCUCUUUGAAGGGUAAAACUUGAGUAAAUACGUACAGUAGAAAUUAAAGAAACAGUUGAACAUGUUGAAGUAAUAA